GUGCUCCCCCGCCAAUUCCUUUAAGUUUCAGCCUUGCGACCGUACUUCCCAGGCGGCACGUUUCACGAUUUCUCUUCGGCACCUCGGUGACUCGUGGUCACCGAUACACCUAACGUGCAUCGUUUACAGCUGGGACUACCCGGGUAUCUAAUCCGGUUUGCUCCCCCAGCUUUCGUUCCUCACUGUCGGAGCCGUCCUGGUGAGACGCCUUCGCCACAGGUGGUCCCUCAAGGAUUACAGGAUUUCACUCCUACCCCUGAAGUACCUCUCACCUCUUCCGGUCCCUAGUCUGCCAGUAUCCCUGAGACGCCUUCCGGUUAAGCCGGAAGAUUUCCCCAGAGACUUAACAGACCAGCUACGAACGCUUUAAGCCCAGUAAUAGUGGCCACCACUCGAGCCGCCGGUAUUACCGCGGCGGCUGGCACCGGUCUUGCCCGGCCCUUUCUUCACCAGUUAUUUACACUGGCGGACAGCCUGAUUUUACAGGCACUCGGAGUUCCCUUAUCACGAUUGCUCGCAUUGUAAAGUUUUCGCGCCUGCUGCACCCCGU
rnacentral:rRNA from 1 species